rnacentral:tRNA from 1 species
UCCCAGGUGGCUCAGCGGUAGAGAAUCUGCCUCCAAUGCAGGAGAUGCAGGUUCAAUCCCUGAGUCAGGAA